AACGAACGCUGGCGGCAGGCUUAACACAUGCAAGUCGAACGAUGUAGCAAUACAUAGUGGCGCACGGGUGAGUAAUACUUGGGAACGUGCCUUUCAGUCGGGAAUAACCACGGGAAACUGUGGCUAAAACCCGAUACUCCCUCCGGGGGAAAGUUUACGCUGAAAGAUCGGCCCAAGCCAGAUUAGCUAGUUGGUGGGGUAAUGGCCUACCAAGGCAACGAUCUGUAGCUGGUCUGAGAGGACGACCAGCCACACUGGAACUGAGACACGGUCCAGACUCCUACGGGAGGCAGCAGUGGGGGAUAUUGGACAAUGGGGGAAACCCUGAUCCAGCCAUGCCGCGUGAAUGAUGAAGGCCUUAGGGUUGUAAAGUUCUUUUGUCAGGGAAGAUAAUGACGGUACCUGAAGAAUAAGCACCGGCUAACUUCGUGCCAGCAGCCGCCGCAG
rnacentral:rRNA from 1 species